rnacentral:rRNA from 1 species
UCAGGCAUAACACAUGCAAGUCGAACGGUAACGUGGGGCAACCUGGCGACGAGUGGCGAACGGGUGAGUAAUGCAUCGGAACGUGCCCAGUAGUGGGGGAUAGCCCGGCGAAAGCCGGAUUAAUACCGCAUACGACCUACGGGUGAAAGGGGGGGAUCGCAAGACCUCUCGCUAUUGGAGCGGCCGAUGUCAGAUUAGGUUGUUGGUGGGGUAAAGGCCUACCAAGCCGACGAUCUGUAGCUGGUCUGAGAGGAAGACCAGCCACACUGGGAGUGAGACACGCCCCAGACUCCUACGGGAGGCAGCAGUGGGGAAUUUUGGACAAUGGGCGAAAGCCUGAUCCAAAGAUGCCGCGUGCGGGAAGAAGGCCUUCGGGUGUAAUCAAAGAGUGUCAGGGAAGAAAUCUUCUGGGUUAAUACCUCGGGAGGA